UACGGAGGAUCCGAGCGUUAUCCGGAUUUAUUGGGUUUAAAGGGUGCGCAGGCGGGGGAUUAAGUCGGCGGUGAAAUUUUGCAGCUUAACUGUAACAGUGCCGUUGAUACUGGGGAGCUAGGAUUUGGUUGCUGUGGGUGGAAUGUGUGGUGUAGCGGUGAAAUGCUUAGAGAUCACACAGAAUAUCGAUUGCGAAGGCAGCUCACAAAGCCAAGAUUGACGCUGAGGCACGAAAGUGUGGGGAUCAAACAGGAUUAGA
rnacentral:rRNA from 1 species